UACGUAGGGUGCGAGCGUUGUCCGGAAUUAUUGGGCGUAAAGAGCUCGUAGGCGGUGUGUCACGUCGUUCGUGAAAACCUGCAGCUUAACUGUGGGCGUGCGGUCGAUACGGGCAUCACUGGAGUUCGGCAGGGGAGACUGGAAUUCCUGGUGUAGCGGUGAAAUGCGCAGAUAUCAGGAGGAACACCGGUGGCGAAGGCGGGUCUCUGGGCCGAUACUGACACUGAGGAGCGAAAGCGUGGGGAGCGAACAGG
rnacentral:rRNA from 1 species